GUGUAUGCGUGCGCGUGCACGCUUUCGGCGAUACGAGGCGAGUCCCGGACGACUCCAACGAGGAAUUGUACGUACGUACGUAUGUACAUGCGAGGGUAACGCCUGAAACCCGUGCCUCGUAUAUUCGUUUCUUACCCGAAAUCCCGUGCGCGAGCUAUGGAAUGGAGUAGCUACACUAGCUACGUUCGCGGCGUAGUAGCAAUCGGAGUUACGUUUCUCGAUCGCGACAAAAUUCGUUGUACUCGACGUUACCAGAUGCUGACCGUAGCACUGAUAAGGUCAGACCAGUAUACGUCGAGUUAACUCGCAUUUGGCAACGUGUCAGUGUCAAAAUCUAUCUGCAAUGAAGCAAAUUUCAAUAGUUUAAAUUUCCAUCGCUCUCAAAACUUCUACGGAUACGCAGUUUCGGUGCUCGUUGGUCAUGACCGAGAUACUUAUUUACGCGCAGAAAGAUUCAUCUCGCAGGUAAGUCUCGACAAAAUUGUUCCGCACGUUUAUCCUGAUGAAAUUGUUUCCACGGAAUCUCGAUUUAUGCUAAUUGGCUAAUGUGGCGACUCAUAUAAGGCGAUCGAGAUACGAUUAGUCAGGUAGGCCAAAAGUCUUUCGA